GGGAAACGAGGAAGGGGCUGGGGGCAUGAGCCACCCCAGGCCCUAGGAAGCACAGGCUCA
rnacentral:ncRNA from 1 species